rfam:Aerococcus viridans ATCC 11563 = CCTG 4311 strain ATCC 11563 contig00035, whole genome shotgun sequence.
AACUUAUUCAGAGCAAGUGGAGGGAUUUGGCCCUAUGAAGCUUCAGCAACCUACCUUUGGCAAGGUGCUAAUUCCAACUCGAAAGAGAUAGAUGAGUC